GACUUCCUUACCCUGUUCAGAGUCAUGAUAAUGCAUUCAAACUGUGUUGAAAAGCUAAGUUUGGGGUAAAAACCCCAAAAGCUCCCAAAGCCCAAGAAAGUGCGAGAACAAAAAAAAAGAAAAAAAAUUGAUGAAUCGAGAGAAAGAAAGAAAAAAUAAAAAGAGAAAAAAUUAUAACUCGAAGAUUCAAAAAGAAGCACGAAAAAGGGCAUUCGGUGAAGAAAAAAAUAAUAAGAAAAGAAAACCGAGCAAAUAAAAGAAACAAACACAGUAUGUAACAUCAACUCUGAACCAAAAGCCACUUGUUUUCCGUUUUUUUGAAUAAUCCAUACCCUAACCCAAGCCAAGUUACAACCCGAAAGACCUCAAAA
rnacentral:lncRNA from 1 species